AGAACCUGUCUAAUUUUAUCUCAAUUACCGAAAGAUUUUUACGUCAAUUGUGAAGCAAAAAAAAAUGGCAAGAGCGAAAAGGAUGCGUUAGAUCAAUUAGUUGUUAAUCCCAAACUUCAAACUGGAGAUUACGGGAAGUGAGAACGCUGAAAAAGAUCAUUGCUAAAGAUUCCAAAGUGAUGGUUAUUGCUGUUGCUGGCAAAUGCUUAUGUGGUCUGGCUAAUGGACUGUAAAAUAAGUUCUCUGCUUAUGCGUUAGCAAACAACUCUUGGUCAAGUGUUCCUACCAGUAAGAAAACCCAGUAUUCUCUUUAGUUAGGGACUUCCUGGUGUUGCCGGAACUUCUGGCAAUCCCGGAAAAGAUGGUGAACCUGUGAUGGUGUUUUUGGCUUACCGGGUGUCAGCGGUCUUCGCGGUGAGCGUUGAUUCCCUGGCGAACGUGGACCUGUUGGUCCUCCUGGAGGUCCUGGUGAGCGCAGUCCUGUCGGUAUGAUGGGAGCUGACGGUCCUUCGAGUCAAUCUGGUCCUAAAGGUGACAAGGGUCAUGCUGGGCCUUCAGGUCUAGUGGGUUUGCCCGGUCAACGAGGCAAACCUGGUCUGUCUAGCGAGAAAGGUGAACGUGGAACUCAGGGCCCGAUUGGUCCCAAAGUUCCUGCUAGUAAACAAGGUGAACGUGGUCUGCAAGGUAUCAUGAAUCCUCCCGAAACUCCUGGAGAGCUGGCGGAACGCGAUGACACUGGGCCACUGGUCAAACACGUCCACGAAACACUCUGCUUAUUUGAAACGCAGCCGCGCGCGGAAUUUGUUUUCCAUUCAAAUUACAAACUUGUAAGAAUCGGUCGGAAAUGUCCCUGUCUCUACACAAGACAACACACAUAACAAAGGAUUGAGGAAGAAGCUUUGCUUACGAGGGCAUAUAAGAAAGAAAAAAGGAUUCAAAAACAUCUCCUGCAGCGAGGCGGGUUUUCCUUCUUGUGGCUGGACAAAUCGACUGGGAUAUAUUUCACAAUAAAUAACUGAAAAGGGGACAUUAUAUUAGGAAGGACUAUUCCGCUUGUUGAAUAGCUCUCCCAUUAUGUCUCGUGUUGUGUAUAUAUACGAAGGGGAAAUGAAAAGAUGACUGAUGUUUGCUGACAUUUCCCAUGCAGAAAAGAAGGAACUCGGGCCCACGUCUUUUGUUAGACCAGAGAAAAGCAGCCCAACAACAGCUCUUUA